rnacentral:rRNA from 1 species
GUGGGGAAUCUUAGACAAUGGGGGCAACCCUGAUCUAGCCAUGCCGCGUGAGUGAUGAAGGCCUUAGGGUCGUAAAGCUCUUUCGCCGGGGAAGAUAAUGACUGUACCCGGUAAAGAAACCCCGGCUAACUCCGUGCCAGCAGCCGCGGUAAUACGGAGGGGGUUAGCGUUGUUCGGAAUUACUGGGCGUAAAGCGCGCGUAGGCGGAUCGGAAAGUUGGGGGUGAAAUCCCGGGGCUCAACCCCGGAAUUGCCUUCAAAACUCCCGGUCUUGAGGUCGAGAGAGGUGAGUGGAAUUCCGAGUGUAGAGGUGAAAUUCGUAGAUAUUCGGAGGAACACCAGUGGCGAAGGCGGCUCACUGGCUCGAUACUGACGCUGAGGUGCGAAAGCGUGGGGAGCAAACAGGAUUAGAAACCCGUGUAGUCC